rnacentral:rRNA from 1 species
CUACGGGGGGCAGCAGUGAGGAAUAUUGCACAAUGGGGGGAACCCUGAUGCAGCAACGCCGCGUGGAGGACGACGCAUUUCGGUGUGUAAACUCCUUUUAUAUGUCAAGAAAAUGACGGUAGCAUAUGAAUAAGCACCGGCUAACUCCGUGCCAGCAGCCGCGGUAAUACGGAGGGUGCAAGCGUUACUCGGAAUCACUGGGCGUAAAGGACGCGUAGGCGGGUUGGAAAGUCAGGUGUGAAAUCCUACAGCUUAACUGUAGAACUGCACUUGAAACUUCUAAUCUAGAGUAUGGGAGGGGGAGAUGGAAUUAGUGGUGUAGGGGUAAAAUCCGUAGAUAUCACUAGGAAUACCUAAAGCGAAGGCGAUCUCCUGGAACAUUACUGACGCUAAGGCGUGAAGGCGUGGGGAGCAAACAGGAUUAGAUACCCGAGUAGUC